rnacentral:rRNA from 1 species
GCUUAACACAUGCAAGUCGAGGGGAAACGGCAUUGAGUGCUUGCACUGAAUGGACGUCGACCGGCGCACGGGUGAGUAACGCGUAUCCAACCUUCCCGUUACUGCGGGAUAACCUGCCGAAAGGCAGACUAAUACCGCAUGUUCUUCGAUGACGGCAUCAGAUUCGAAGCAAAGAUCCGUCGGUAACGGAGGGGGAUGCGUCUGAUUAGCUUGUUGGCGGGGCGACGGCCCACCAAGGCGACGAUCAGUAGGGGUUCUGAGAGGAAGGUCCCCCACAUUGGAACUGAGACACGGUCCAAACUCCUACGGGAGGCAGCAGUGAGGAAUAUUGGUCAAUGGGCGGAAGCCUGAACCAGCCAAGUAGCGUGCAGGACGACGGCCCUACGGGUUGUAAACUGCUUUUAUGCGGGGAUAAAGUGAGGGACGUGUCCCUUUUUGCAGGUACCGCAUGAAUAAGGACCGGCUAAUUCCGUGCCAGCAGCCGCGGUAAUACGGAAGGUCCGGGCGUUAUCCGGAUUUAUUGGGUUUAAAGGGAGCGUAGGCCGGGGAUUAAGUGUGUUGUGAAAUGUAGGCGCCCAACGUCUGACUUGCAGCGCAUACUGGUUCCCUUGAGUACGCGCAACGCCGGCGGAAUUCGCCGUGUAGCGGUGAAAUGCUUAGAUAUGACGAAGAACCCCGAUUGCGAAGGCAGCCGGCGGGAGCGCAACUGACG